rnacentral:tRNA from 1 species
AAGGGAGACCUAAUUCGGGUAUAAGACGAAAAAAGAGUAGUCGAAACCAAGAAUCAAUCCCAAAAGGUCGGAACGAGGUAUGUGGCUUUCAAACUAGGUUCUGGGUUCACACAAGACCUGAAUCAGGAACAAGGGCUAUUAGCUCAGGUGGUUAGAGCGCACCCCUGAUAAGGGUGAGGUCCCUGGUUCGAGUCCAGGAUGGCCCACCUGCACAGGUGGCAAAAACAAAGAAGCGAGGAAUCAGCACCUUAUCUUAUCUAUAUAUAAGAGAGAAUGCUGGCUCUGAGUAAAGAGUCCAGAAGAACCUUGAAAACUGCAUAGAGCUAGGUGAAAAAGCCAAAAAAGAAGACCGCAA